GAGCAUGGAGGCAAAGGCGCAGACUUUGCAUCACCCUUUUUACUCGAUCCCCAAGAUCGAGGAAUCGUCUGAACCGCCUCAAGUCUCUUGUCUUCUAGUGAAUCUAGGGUUUUCAACAUUUUAGUAUAAAUAGAUCAAUUUGGGGUUUGUCCAAAGGAUCUAGCUUUUAUCUCUUAGUUUUUCUUUGUGUUCUUGAAUCUUCAAAACUUAAUUACUCUUAAUCUAUUUUGUUUUUU
rnacentral:sRNA from 1 species